AUACGUAGGGAGCGAGCGUUGUCCGGAAUUACUGGGUGUAAAGGGAGCGUAGGCGGGAUGGCAAGUCAGAUGUGAAAACUAUGGGCUCAACCCAUAGACUGCAUUUGAAACUGUUGUUCUUGAGUGAAGUAGAGGUAAGCGGAAUUCCUGGUGUAGCGGUGAAAUGCGUAGAUAUCAGGAGGAACAUCGGUGGCGAAGGCGGCUUACUGGGCUUUUACUGACGCUGAGGUUCGAAAGCGUGGGGAGCAAACAGGAUUAGAUACCCUGGUAGUCCACGCUGUAAACAAUGAUUACUAGGUGUAGGGGGACUGACCCCUUCCCUGCCGCAGUUAACACAAUAAGUAAUCCACCUGGGGAGUACGGCCGCAAGGUUGAAACUCACAGGAAUUGACGGGG
rnacentral:rRNA from 1 species